rnacentral:lncRNA from 1 species
AUGGGGGGAGAUGGGGACGGGACAGGACGGACCUCGUCUGAAGGUGUAAAGCCCAUACAAUUUUUCUGUAUCGAACCCCAAAUCUCCUUAUCCUCGUUUUGGCUGGUUUGGCAGUUUGGGCACUCGUUUCUCGUUCUCCCGCCUGGCAGCGGGCGCACCGGCGGCUUUGCCAGGCCGUUACCGUGCCGCCCGCCUUUCCCUCCCCGCAGUGCCCAUCCUCCGCGGCUCUCCGACGGGUUUUUGCCGUCGCCUCCGUCUUUCCUGCAGCGGUGCUGGGCUCGCUGCCUGAAUAUGCGGUUCACGGAUACACGGGCAGACAGGCAGCGGGGAGGGCUGCGGGGAGCACCGGCGCCGGCCCGGUGCGGCCGGACCGAGACGCGGCCGGCCGUUACCGGGAGCAGGGCGGGGGGCAGCGGAAGCCCCGGGGGCGGACGAGGUUCCCGGCACGGCCGCAGCCGCCGCUGCCGGGAAGGGAGCCGCCUCCGCGCGCUCCCGCAGCCCCUGAGUGGCUGGACGGCGGCGGGGCGGAGCGCGGGGGCGACCGCCGGCCCGGCCCGACCCGGGCCGCCUCCCGUCCCCAAACAGCGCCUGAACGAGCGGGCAGGCGGUGCCGGGCCAGCCGCCGCCGCGCCCUACCGGCCUCCCCGCGUCCCCCGCGCCCCGCGCCAUGGAGAUCGAGCUGCCCCCCGCCGCCCAGGUGAGAGCGCGGCCCGGCGGGAGGGGCCGGGGGCGAUGGCAGCCCCCGGCGUCCCCCCCGGUAGGGCCCGGCCCGGCCCGGUGGGGUGUCCGGGCGAGGGGCGGGGCGGGCGGUCACGAGGCCGGCGGAGCACGUGGCGCCGCCCCGCCCCUGCCAAGGUGCUGAGUCAUGGUGGGGGCGGUGCCGCCGAGGCCCCCGCAGCCCCCCCCCGGCUCCGCUCUGCCGCUGGCGGAGGGGGGGGGGAGGCCGGGCCGGUGGCGGAGAGGUCAGUCGGGGCCUCCAGGAGCCGCCUUGGCGGCAGCUGCCCGCGGUGGGGGCAGGAGGUCGGAGGAGCCGGGGAGGGUGAGAGGGCCGAAGCCGGCCCCUGA